CAAAAAGAAAGGGCAAACCCUUCUACGCGUGACCCUCCUCCUCCUUAUUAGUUCAACCUCGCGCAGCACUUCCUCAGUGGCAACCCAGCCACCGUUCAAAGUCACAGCCGCCGUCCGAUCCGAGGACAGCAGCCCAGCCGCCGUCCGAUCCGAGGACAGCAACCCAGCCGCCGUUCGAGCCACCGUUCGACCCCAAGACAACAGCCCGUGUGAGUGGAGUCUUCCUCCCUUCUUUCCCUGCGUACAACGGAACCCCGACAACAACACGUCACGGAAUCCAAGAGACUAAAAAAGAAAAGAAAGAGUAUUUCACUAGUUGGUCUGCCAAGACAAGACCCGAAACAUCCUCCACAAUGACUUCCCACUACUCAAGAAGAGACAGGAACAAGUAUGGCUAGUAAGCCACUGAUCAUUGUCAAGGUUCCAAUAGGACUUUCUAUGUUUUUGAAAAUACUUAUAGGUUCUGUGAAGUAUGUAGAACCAGGAUUCAUGAUUUACAUUUCGAUGGAGGUCGAUAUUAUGGUCGAUGCGUAUACCUUAUAUAUCUCACAUGAGGAUAUAGUACACUUUGGACUUAUGGAGGAAAUCGAGACAUUGCAGUCAUCAAAAAUCCGGUCCAAUAUAGAUAAUCGGGCUAAAAUUAUCUCUGGCCGUAUCAUCAACACAUUGAUGGGUCAAACUUGGUUAAUGGAAUACCAUUUCGAACGUCAUUGGAUGUUAGUGAUCAUUGAUCCAGAUAAUCACAUGUGCUACUAUCUCGAUCUACUUAGAAAUUCUCCUCCAAAUGAUCUCACGAACCUUAUGAACAGAGAAAGACAGGCAUGUAUGAAAAAAGUUACAAGUGGAAAAUAUUCAAUUGCCCUUGUUAGACUUCAAUGGUAGAGUGCGACUUUUAUAUCAUAAGGAUGAUGGAGUGUUGCUUGCAUGAGGCACCCAUUUGAUGGCUAAUUACUAAUUGUGGCAGGAAGAACACAUAUAACUGUGAGGAAAUCAAUGAAACUCGAAAUGAAUAGGUAGCUAAGCUCCUUGAGUGGAUGAGCCGAAGCUAGGGUAACUUUUGAAAUCAUAAUUCAAAACAAGCUAAUUAUAUUUAGUACAACACUUACAUAGUUAAGGCAAUGAUACCUACAUAAUUAAGACAAGAAUGUAUUUACAUAGUUAAGGCAAUAAUUAUACAUCUUGAUCUUGUAACUUUAGUUUUAUAAUAUAUUGAAUUCUUUUGAUUUUGUA